rnacentral:rRNA from 1 species
CCUACGGGAGGCUGCAGUGGGGAAUAUUGCACAAUGGGGGAAACCCUGAUGCAGCGACGCCGCGUGAGUGAAGAAGUAUUUCGGUACGUAAAGCUCUAUCAGCAGGGAAGAAAAUGACGGUAUCUGACUAAGAAGCCCCGGCUAACUACGUGCCAGCAGCCGCGGUAAUACGUAGGGGGCAAGCGUUAUCCGGAUUUACUGGGUGUAAAGGGAGCGUAGACGGCAGCGCAAGUCUGGAGUGAAAUCCCAUGGCUUAACCAUGGAAUUGCUUUGGAAACUGUGCAGCUAGAGUGCAGGAGAGGUAAGCGGAAUUCCUAGUGUAGCGGUGAAAUGCGUAGAUAUUAGGAGGAACACCAGUGGCGAAGGCGGCUUACUGGACUGUAACUGACGUUGAGGCUCGAAAGCGUGGGGAGCAAACAGGAUUAGAUACCCCAGUAGUC